rnacentral:piRNA from 1 species
AGGAGAUACUCCAGAGGACUGAG